CCCCGCGGCUGGGCAUGCGCGGAGGGCCCGGCCGACGCCGGGCGAGGACUCCGAAGUCAACAAGGCUGGGGACGCCCCCCGGCUGGCUCCGCCCCCUGCUGGAUGGCUCCGCCCCAACCCAAGCAACGCGAGGUCUCGACUGCGCGGGGCCACUGCGGAGGGAGGAGAUCCCGCGAGAGUUAGCCCUCCCUCCCCCCACUCCCAGGUGUCCGCCUCCUUCCCCUGGAGCGACCAGUUGAAUGGUGCUGGUGGCUCUGCUGCUGGUCUCGGCCGUGCGCCUGGGCAAGCUUUCCCGCGUAUCGGGGCGUUUGGAAGUGCUUUCUGGACGCGGAGGCGGCCCCGCGGGGUAACCCUACAAUGGCGUGUGCAGAGAGUGCUCACGGGCUCCGCCGAAGUGCCCAGGUGUGGCCUCCUAGGGGCCAGAAUGGUCCCCCGCGGCCGCCGUCGGCGUCCCCACUCCCCCUGCACGGCGCAGCCUCGCCUCGGGAGGGAGGGGGCCCGCGCUCGGGCUGAGCUGCGCAUGCGUGCGACGCCAGGGGCCUCGUGCCCAGCGGGGUCCUCGUCCUCGUCCUGCCGGGCGGCCGCGGCCGGUCCCAGAGGGGAGCUUGCUGGGAAAGGACGCGAGGUGGAGAAAAGAAGAACCGGGCUGGCCGGGCGCGGUGGGAAAGCGUUGUCGAUGCUGAAGUGCCCAAUGGUCCUUCCAGGCUCUUGUUGCCCUGAUCAAAGAACUGGAUGAAACAACUGAUGAAGACAAAAGUUCAAUGUUUAUUGAUAGUAAAAGGAAGAAACAAGAAGUGAAAAAGUGAAAGAGGAGAGAAAAGAAGUAGAAGUGAACCCUGAAGAAAAAAAGAAAAUAUUCUCUAUGUGAAGAGCAGGAUACUGCAAGAGCAAGCAGAUAGGAGUGAUGAGGCCAAUGGUGGCCAGCUUUUAGAUGUUCCUUCUGAUAUCAGAUCCAGGUCAUAAGAAGCAGUUCUGUGCAUGCAUCCCAGCUGUGAUUUAACAGGACACGCUCAGCUGUCCAGCCAGCUUGCCGUGCCCUAAUCUCUUGCCUCAAUUAUUUUAGAAUGUACUCCUAUUUUCAAGAAGAAAAAUUUACUGUGAGACAGCAUGCAGUGCUAUGUGGGCAGCAGUGUGCACUGUGUCUCUUGAUUGCAUAAAGAGACCAUAUGGCCAGUGUCAUGGCUCGGUGUGUAAACACAACACUUGGGAGACUGAGGCAGGAGGAUUUUGAGUUCAAGGUGAGCCUGUGCUACACAAUGAGACCUUAUCCCAAAAUGAGGCCAUGUGAAGUGAUUGACCUACUCUAUCUAGGACUGUAUAAAUCCUAUGCACUCUAUGAUGUUCACAGAUAUUCACAAUGUUUAGAAUGUGUUUCCCUUGAUAAGUGACUCAGAACUAUAUAUAACAGUAUGUAGUUAAUAUAUAUAUAUAUUACAUAAAAUAUAGCAUAUAUAUGUGACAAUAUAUACUUCAUUAAUAUUAUUAAAUGAAAACUACAGGAAGCCAAUAUUUUAGACUAAGCUCCUGCACUUGGGCCAAUAGCCCAGAAAGAAAAUCAAACUGAGGUCACUCAUGCUAAAAAUCAAACCAAAACUAAGUUGUUAUUUGACAUUCCAAGAAAUCAGAAGAGAAAGAAAAACAGCCAAAAUUUCCAAACAGGCCAGUUUCAAUUGGCACAACAAUAACAUUUCACAUUUCAAAUUCUUUCAAAGAAAGUAACAUGAAAUGACCUAAUGUUAAGUAGGUUUUUCCCUAUUGUUCUACUUUCCUGUCUCCUUCUUAUAAGAAAAGUAACUUUGAAAUAAUGUCUUUUUUUUUUUUUUUUUUUUCAGUACUGGAGAUUGAACCCAGGGCCUUCACCCUGAGCUAUGUCCCCAGCACUUUUUUAAAAAAAAACUUAUUUUGAGACAGGUCUCACUAAAUCACUAAGCUGCCUAGUUUGGGCUGGAAGUGGUAUCUUCCUGCCUCAGCAUCCCAGAGUGUUGCUAUUAUGAGCAUGCUCCACCAGGCCCAGUAACCAUCUCUCUUUCUGUCUUUUGUUUCUUCUCCUUUCAUCAUUUCUCUGUCUAUACAUGAAACCCUUCUGGGCACCCUGUUAGAAGACAUUUUAUUUUAUAGAAUGGAGUGUUGGGUGACACUAGAAUUAUUUUCUCUUUUACUUUAUGUUAUUAAUACAUGUUUGCAGUACAUGCAAUUUACAAUCUUGGGGAGUUGGCAUCUGUACACAAUACAACUUGCUUCUUUGUUUAAUCCUCCCUCUUCACACCUUCCUCCUCUAGCUCACCUUUUCUUAGUUUCACUCUUUUUUCAGGGGGACCUGGAAUUGAACUCAGGACCUUGCACUUGCCAGGCAGGUGCUGUGCCACUGAGCUAUAUAUCCCUGGCCCCUUAUUUUCACUCUUAAUGAUAUUAUUAGCUCAUGUCUAUGACAUACACUAUCCACAUUAGUUAAAGUUAUUAAGAACUCGUACAAAGGUUACUUCUGUGGCAGAAUUUGUUGGGAUUUUGAUUGCAGUUCCCAUAGGAAUUUAUUGCUGUUGGUACCUUUUAAACUUUAAAAGCAAACAGCUGAUGUUGAAAAUAUUGAUGUUUAUUCUACACACUCAAAACAUAUAAAAAUACUUUAUUUUAUUGAUAUAUAUGCUCCUGUUAAGUACAUAUUAUAUAACCAGAACUUUGUCACAAAACAAGAAGACCAGUGAGAUGUCAAGUAUGUCCUAUCAAAAGGGACAAGAAAGCAAAUGCAUGUGCUAUCAGUGUAAGUGAUAUAUGUGUAUGGAACACGCUGCUUUUGUGUAUGAAAAUGACGUCAGGUGUCUGUGGUGGAUUAACUAACGCUCAGCUUCUAACCCCGCUGAACUGAAUCAGGGUGGUGCUGGAUGUGGAAGGACUGUUGCCAGCAUCAUAAAAACAGUACUGGAGGGGAAGAUGGUGCGUUAUUGAUCCUCCUGGAGAAGCUCGUCAUGCUGGUUGAUGAAACAGAGGAGAACAUGGUUCUUGAGAAGAAACAGGACAUGAAAAAUGACCUUAGUCCUCUCACCAGAAGCGGGGAGUGCAUCUGAAGUGCAGGAGAUCCCUUGGGGCAUGUCCUAGUGUUGCCAGGACCUGCUGCUAAAAGUCAAUGGGAAGCAAGUGUUGUGAUUGUAAUCACUCUCUUAAUAUGGUUCUAAUGUAGUUUUUAGAAGUAUGUUUGUAAUAAGGUCAUAGCCAAAGUAUUGACUACAUACUUGAAUUUUGAUCAUCCUUUGAAUAUUUUGCUUUUGGUGAGGGAAUAAGUGUGAUAAGAGUUGUAUAUAUGUAAUUGUUAUAUUAAUGUUAAAUCUGAAUAGACCAAGACAUGUUAACUUUUCUUAAAUCUGCCACUGGAGACCGGUUUAAGGAAAUGUGUUUGGUUAUCAAGUUGACCAGGGGUGGACUGCGGUAGAUUAACUAAUAGUCAACUUGUAACGCCCAGCUGAAUUAAAUCAGUGUGGUGCUGGGUGUGCAAGGCCCACCUGAGGAUUAUUACCAAUAGCAUAAAAGAGAACUGGCGGGGAAGAUGAUGUGUUGUCGAUCCUCCUGGAGAAACAUGUCACUUCCGACUUUCCUGAUAUGAACUCCAUCAGAGGAGCUUGGGUGCUCACUGUCACUGAGGAUUCUGUGGCCCUCUUUGGUGGAGCUCUGGUCUUUACCUUGAGCAUCACUUCCUGGCUCUGGUGCAGAUCCCUCAGCCUGCUGGCCCAGAUCCUUCAUCCUGCUGGCACAGAUUUUCUAGCUUUCACCACUGACCUUUGGUCUUAGUGCAGAUCCUUGAUACAGACUUGCAUGGGACAUUGUCAUGGGCUCUAGGCCUCCAGCUGGAUUCAAGGAGGACUCUGCCAUGGGACCCAGGCCCUCAGCUGGAGUCUUUGGGUCUCUAGUGUGUGGACAGAUCUCCCAUACUCUUGCAUUUGGCUCUUUGGGAGAAUAUUAUAAAAUAAUCUUAUAAACUAUAUGUCCUUUAUUAAAUCUUUUCCCUUGUAAACUGACUACAACAGUGUCAUAAUUGAAGCAAUCAUUAUUUUUGGAGUAGAGUUUCAUUUGUAUUUUCAUUGUAGUGCAUAUAGGAAUUUAUUUCUGUUGUUAUUUUUUAGACUUAGUAAACAAAAAAGUUGAUGUUGAAAAAUUUGAUGCUAAUUUGAAACAAGAAUAUUAAUUCAAUACCUCAUUUUAUUGAUAUCUUUCCUGUUAUGUACAUAUUGUUUAAUAAAACUCAUACAUUUAAAAUUAGUAAUUCAUCAAUAGAAAUACUUCCAAAAAAUAAGCAAGUGUGGGCAUUAUGCUCCCAACCUGAUAUUCUCUUUUUUAUAAAAGUUAACAUGGCAAGCCACAAAUGAACAGCAGGAGUCCCUAUGUCCCGCAGGCACUGUGACUAGGAGCUGCACCUGGCUGCUGUUGUGGUAUAUUACAAUUUUACAUUGCAAAAGCACGGGAUGGGUGCAUUUUACCCCCCAUGAUGCCCCAUCAUACAUACCCUAAAUAUGUAAUGCAGACCAUUAUGUGAGCAUAACAUACCUGUUGACACUCCUGUACAGGUGCCUACACCUUGCUGUUCAUUGUACCAAGUAGGUUAACACAAAGAUCACUUCCUGUACCCCCAUCCUCCACAGCCACUGACAAGCACAGGUGGCUACAUUAUGAGAAAAUAAAAAUUUUUGGUAGAAAAAUACGGUAUGGGAUUGAGAAACCCAAUGUUGCAAGUGUUGGGGAGUAAAUGUUCUAAGUCUCUAAAUAAUGUAAAAUGAUAUGAUAGUAGUCUACAGUUAGACCGUGUUAGUCUCAUGCAUCUGUAGACAAACUUCAGCCGGUGGUGAACUAAGACAAUUUUGAAGGCAAAUGUAAGCAUGUGCUCUAUUGUCUAGUUAGUUUAAAGCAUCAAUCACCUGGCUAUGCUGCAAAUUAUACAUGGAUGAGGUAAAAAACAAUUAAAACUUUAAAAGCAAAAGUAGAAUAAAGUGAGUAACUUCACAGACAUGGGGAUAUAUUGUGGGCUAGCUAAUUUCCCAGAUAGCCACAGACUGUACACAUCUGAAAUGAAACAUUCAGUAUUUAACUAAAAUAUCUGUAUUCUUCCCAGACAAUCAUACUUUAAAACAAAAAUUUGUAACUUCUAAACUCUUUUGGGUACAUGUUUGCAAUACAAGAAAGAUUUUGUCACUUUUAAAGGACGACUGAUUUAAUUCCUUUAAAAUACAUCAGUG
rnacentral:lncRNA from 1 species